GUAGUCAUAUGCUUGUCUCAAAGAUUUAGCCUUGCACGUCUAAGUACUGCUGCCUUACAAAUGGUGAAACCGCGAAUUGCUCAUUAAAUCAGUUAUGGUUCAUUGGAUCAUGACCAGAUACUUGGAUAUCUGUGGCAAUUCUAGAGCUAAUACAUGCACUAAAGCCGCGGCUACGGCCCCCGCUUGCUCUUAUUAGACAACCGGGCCCCUCGGGCUGCUCGCUCGCGGGCGGUGCGGGGGAACUCGGUGGUGACUCUGGAUAAUAUUGCCUAACCGCUCAAGGCCUCUGCGCCGGCGGGUAUCUUUCAAGUGUCUGCCCUAUCAACUGUCGAUGGUAGUUUACACGCCUACCAUGGUUGUGACGGGUGACGGAGAACCAGGUNUCGGUUCCGGAGAGGGAGCCUGAGAAACGGNUACCACAUCCAAGGAAGGCAGCAGGCGCGCAAAUUACCCAAUCCCGGCACGGGGANGUAGUGCCGAAAAAUUACAAUGCGGGGCUCUCAUGAAUCUCCGUGAAUGGAAUGAGCGGGGUACAAACCCCUCGCGAGUACCUAUCGGAAGGCAAGUCUGGUGCCAGCAACCGCGGUAAUACAGUUCCGNNNNCGUAUACUAAAGCUGUUGCGGUUAAAAAGCUCGUAGUUGAAACCGAGCGGGCUACGCGCAGUGGGAUCUGCUUUGCAGGUCCGUGUGUGCGGGCCGCGCAUCGGAGGCAGACGUCCGUCGUCCUCUUAACCGAGCGGCUUCGGGUGUUUGUCAAUGAUCACUUUGAUUAAACUAGAGUGCUCAAAGCGGGCCUUGUGCCUGCAUAACAGUGCACGGAAUGAUGGAAUACGUUGCUGUUCUGUUUGUCUGGUUUCCGGAAACGGCACAAUGAUCAAAAGGGACAAGUCGGAGGCGAAGGUACUGUAGGGAUAGAGGUGAAAUUCUGUGACCCCUGCAAGACCAACUACAGCGAAAGCAUUCGCCGAGAGUGUUUUCAUUGAUCAAGAACGAAAGUCAGAUGAUCGAAGGCGAUCAGAUACCGCCCUAGUUCUGACCAUAAACGAUGUCGACCAGCAAUCCGCCUUGGUUGUUUUUACGACCGGGCGGGCAGCUUCCGGGAAACCACAGUGUGGUUCCGGGAGAGUAUGGUUGCAAAGCUGAAACUUAAAGGAAUUGACGGAAGGGCACCACAAGAAGUGGAGCUGCGGCUUAAUUUGACUCAACACUGGGCACCUCACCUGGUCCUGACACUGGGAGGAUUGACAGAUUGAGAGCUCUUUCUUGAUUCGGUGCAUAGUGGUGCAUGGCCGUUCUUAGUUCGUGGAGCGAUCCGUCUGGUUAAUUCCGAUAACGAACGAGACUCUAUCUUACUAACUAGUCUGCGCGUAUCAGCCGCGUGCAGACUUCUUAGAGGGACGAGGUGCUUCCAGCACCGCGAAAAAGAGCGAUAACAGGUCUGUGAUGCCCUUAGAUGUUCAGGGCCGCACGCGCGCUACAAUGGGGCAAGCAGCGUGUCGGUGAGCCUAGCCCGAAGGGGCCGGGUAACCCCGGAACCUCCCUCAUGCUCGGGAUAGAGGAUUGCAAUUGCGCCUCUUGAACGAGGAAUUUCUCGUAAACGUAAUUCACCAGAUUGUGUUGAUUAGGUCCCUGCCCUUUGUCCACACCGCCCGUCGCUGCUACCGAUUGAGUGAACUAGUGAGGCCAUCCGACCGGGCCCCCGGGCGUCCUUCGGGGAUCGCGCGGGUGGAGCGGGAAGACGGCCGAACUUGUGCACUUAGAGGAAGCAAAAGUCGUAACAAGGUUUCCGUAGGUGAACCUGCGGA
rnacentral:rRNA from 1 species